AGACCCGAAACCCGGUGAUCUAGCCAUGGGCAGGUUGAAGGUUGGGUAACACUAACUGGAGGACCGAACCGACUAAUGUUGAAAAAUUAGCGGAUGACCUGUGGCUGGGGGUGAAAGGCCAAUCAAACCGGGAGAUAGCUGGUUCUCCCCGAAAGCUAUUUAGGUAGCGCCUCGUGAAUUCAUCUCCGGGGGUAGAGCACUGUUUCGGCUAGGGGGCCAUCCCGGCUUACCAACCCGAUGCAAACUGCGAAUACCGGAGAAUGUUAUCACGGGAGACACACGGCGGGUGCUAACGUCCGUCGUGAAGAGGGAAACAACCCAGACCGCCAGCUAAGGUCCCAAAGUCAUGGUUAAGUGGGAAACGAUGUGGGAAGGCCCAGACAGCCAGGAUGUUGGCUUAGAAGCAGCCAUCAUUUAAAGAAAGCGUAAUAGCUCACUGGUCGAGUCGGCCUGCGCGGAAGAUGUAACGGGGCUAAACCAUGCACCGAAGCUGCGGCAGCGAACGUAUCACCCAAGACAACUUUACGGAGUUGACGAUUGACGGAGCGAAGCGACGUCAAAGCGUUCAUUAAAGUCGAGUUGGCUUAGGGAUACGUUCGUUGGGUAGGGGAGCGUUCUGUAAGCCUGUGAAGGUGUGUCGUGAGGCAUGCUGGAGGUAUCAGAAGUGCGAAUGCUGACAUAAGUAACGAUAAAGCGGGUGAAAAGCCCGCUCGCCGGAAGACCAAGGGUUCCUGUCCAACGUUAAUCGGGGCAGGGUGAGUCGACCCCUAAGGCGAGGCCGAAAGGCGUAGUCGAUGGGAAACGGGUUAAUAUUCCCGUACUUGGUGUUACUGCGAAGGGGGGACGGAGAAGGCUAUGUUGGCCGGGCGAC
rnacentral:rRNA from 1 species